rnacentral:lncRNA from 1 species
CAGAAGAAAGACAAGAAUAGAGGAAGAACCAAACUAUGAUGUGAUGAAGAAAGAAAAUAAAGAGAAGAAGAUGACAGGACACAGAAGAAAGACAAGAACAGAGGAACAACCAAACUAUGAUGUGAUGAGGAAAGAAAAUAAAGAGAUGAAGAUGAAAGGACACAGAAGAAAGACAAGAACAGAGGAACAACCAAACUAUGAUGUGAUGAGGAAAGAAAACAAAGAGAAGAAGAUGAAAGGACACAGAAGAAAGACAAGAACAGAGGAACAACCAAACUAUGAUGUGAUGAAGAAAGAAAAUAAAGAUAAUGAAGAUCAAAUGACACAUAUGUAUAUACAUAUGAUAUACAUAUAUACACAUAUAUUUGCAUGUGGUGUUCUCUACAGACGAGGUUGCACAGUCAAUAUAUACAUAUACUAAAAUUUGUUUCGAUGGCGAAAGAAAUUUGACAAAGUUUAAAAGUUUCAUUUAUUUGAGGAAGGUUUUUAAGCACUUUUUAACUUAUUUUCGUGUUGGUGUUGCAUACUACAACUAUUUGCGCCGUUUGGUCAGCUAGCUAGCUCACAUCGAAGAUUCUAGCAUUAAUGAGUUUGUAAAAUACAUCUUCAUAGUCUUAGGAAAUAUAAAUGGUGAAACAUGGCUGUGAGAACGCUCGUUUCUCAAGCAUUGAUCCCGAGCUCGAUCGUUGUUGCAUCAAAAGGUUUAGAAACUUUUGGUGAAAUUUUUCAGCUGAAAUCAUCCAAUGUCAAAUUAAAGCUCGACCAUGAGAAGACAACACUUUGGAAAAGUACUAAACAGCAGACAUAACAUCAGCACAAAGCAAGUUUUCCUUUGGAUAGCCUCCAACUUGGUUUAUCAAGUCUUUAUAUACAUCAUUUAAGUCUUCAUAGUUUGGCUUGCAGAACUUGCAUAUGCUGGUCGUAUUUGCAGAUGACGUGUUUGCUGCUGGAUUUACUGGAAUCUGUGGAAUGAGAUCAAAUAAAAUUUUAAAAUCCAUUUGUCUAUAAAUUUGAAGUUAUAUUUCAAAGCCAACAAUGAGGACUGGACGGGAUUUCAAGUCCAAGCAAUUAGUUCUAGUCCGAGGUGCAAUUCUGUGUAGUUCUAGUCCAAGGCGCAAUCGGACUUGAAAUUCUGUCCAGUCCGAUAUUGGAGGCUUUGAAAUAACUUCUCAUGCUCAUUAAUUAUUCGACUUGAAGUAACUGAAACAAAAUUAAUUCAGUCCUAGGACUGAAUUAAUUUUGUUCCAGUUACUGAAUGCAUUCCUUUCGCAUGAUUUUACCAGAUUUCAAGUAACAUGUGACCCAAAAAUAGCCCAUUGAUUGGUUGGUUGCCUCAUGAAUUAUUAAUGAGUAUGAGAAGCUAAAUGUCUGUUGCAAAACUUACCGUUGUAAAAUUUUUGAAGCAAUCAUACAAUAUUUGUUGCUUAUUAAAGAAGUCCUUCACUUUUG